rnacentral:rRNA from 1 species
AAAUGAAUUGACGGGCACCCGCACAAGCGGUGGAGCAUGCUGUUUAAUUCGACACUACGCGAAAAACCUUACCUAGACUUGACAUCCCCGGCAAAGCUAUAGAAAUAUAGUGGAGGUUAUCCGGGUGACAGGUGGUGCAUGGUUGUCGUCAGCUCGUGUCGUGAGAUGUUUGGUUAAGUCCAAUAACGAGCGCAACCCUCGUCUUUAGUUGCUAACAUUUAGUUGAGAACUUUAAAGAGACUGCCAGUGCAAACUGGAGGAAGGUGGGGAUGACGUCAAAUCAUCAUGCCCCUUACGUCUAGGGCUACAGGCGUGCUACAAUGGCCGAUACAACGAGUUGCAACAUAGUGAUAUGAAGCUAAUCUCUGAAAGUCGGUCUCAGUCCGGAUUGGAGUCUGCAAUUCGACUCCAUGAAGUUGGAAUCGCUAGUAAUCCCGAAUCAGAAUGUCGGGGUGAAUACGUUCCCGGGUGUUGUACACACCGCCCGU